rnacentral:rRNA from 1 species
UACGUAGGGGGCAAGCGUUGUCCGGAAUUAUUGGGCGUAAAGAGCGUGUAGGCGGUCCGGUAAGUCGGAUGUGAAAUCUCCAGGCUCAACCUGGAGGGGUCAUUCGAUACUGCCGUGACUAGAGUUCGGUAGGGGAGUGUGGAAUUCCUGGUGGAGCGGUGAAAUGCGCAGAUAUCAGGAGGAACACCCGUAGCGAAGGCGGCACUCUGGGCCGAUACUGACACUGAGGAGCGAAAGCGUGGGGAGCGAACAGG